UAACAACCUUUUUUUUUCUGUCAUGGUUUUAAUUAUUUAUGUUUAAAGGUUUUUUUUUUACUUGAGACAUAUGCUGGAAUUAUAUUGUAACUUAGUUAACACUCAAGUAGAGAAUACUAGUAACUUGUUUAUAGCAUGAACAAAGAAUCCAAUCAUUUAUCUUUUUUAAGUUUUAAUGCAUCUAAAUUACAAUUGAACUAGCCUUUUCUAUGAACACAGUAAAAAAUGCAAUGAUGAGUUUGUUUUGAUGUGGUACUUUACUCCAUUACAAAAUCGAAUUCUAAGCCAUGGACUCGACAAAUUCAUGUCGACAUGCCGCCUGCCACUCUUUUUUUUUUCUAGGCACAUGAAUUUUAGAUGGUAAGUCUUUUCCUUUUUUUUAUCUAUUAUGUUUUAAUAGUAAUUUUUUUUUCUGUUUUUAUUUCUUUUCUAUUAGUAAGUUAUUUUCCUUUAUUAGUAAUCAUGAUAAUAACUUGUUUUUUAGUAAUGAAUUGUUCGGGUAGUGGUUUCAUCUAACCAUGUUGCAGUUAGUUUUUAUUUCCUAAUCUCACCAUGAUUAAAGGAAAAACUUAUUUAGUUUAUCCUCUUUUGCUUUAUAUUUUUAAAUCCAUUUUUAUAAUUAUAUGAAUAUAGUUUAGGUGUUUGCUUGUUUCUCUUUACAUUAGGCCCAUAUACCAUUUGACACUUCUUAUAUUUCAUACAUGACUUGUAAAAUGAUGUGAAUAAUUAUGAGUUGGUGUUGUUGCUUAAUUUCUAUUGCGAUAAAUUGGACUUCGAUUCGUGGAUUCGGUAAUUUUA
rnacentral:lncRNA from 1 species